UCGAGUUUUAUAAACUCGCUUUCGCUUUAACGCUUUUUGCCCUUCCCACUUAAAACAAUCUACAGAGACCCGUUCAAAAUCUCUCAAUCUCAGACACCGCUCUCUCAAACUCUCUCAAACUCUUCCCCUCACUGUGAAAAUUUCAAAAUCAACUCACUCUCAGACACUCCGCUCUCUCAAACUCGCCGUGCCGAAGGUGCUGCUCCCAUUGACAGUCAGCGACCGAAACUCAGUUUUGCUUCCAUUGACAGUCAGGCACUCAAAGUCAGUACUGCUCCCAUUGAACCACCGUGCGCCUAAGUAUGGAGCCUCGGAUUGAUGAGGAGCUAGAGGUCUUGGACCCCGGUCCGCGUCAGAGGUCAUUGUUGACAUGACAGCCAUAUCAUCGAUCAGAGGCCAUUUGGAAUGGCGAGGACUCGGGCCCACUUACGUGUCGUGGUCGCACUAAGGAGAUGAAAAACGUUCAGAUGGAAGAUAAUCGAAUCAUUGACAUUAUCAAAUUGCUAAGGCUAGAAGGAUUGUUUAGAGCCCCUUCAAGAGAGAUAGAUAAUUGCCUAAUAUCGGCCCUAGUUGAGCGAUGGCGGCCGGAGACUCAUACUUUCCAUCUUCCACAUGGUGAGAUGUCAAUCACCCUACAAGAUGUGGAGGUAAUUUUCAGACUUCCUAUAGACGGUGACGUCUUGGUUGGGCCGACUGCUGUGGUGGAUGAUGGGGGUUGGAGGCAACUGUGUACGGAGUUGCUUGGUUUUACUCCACCGAAUGACAAUAAAACUUUGGUGGGGCAAAGUAUUCUCAUCAGUCGACUUGUUGAGGCCGUUGCAACGCCAUUGCCUUAUGACGCAACGGAGAUGCAGAUACACCGGUAUGCCCGGUGCUAUAUUUUAGCGCUAAUAGGGGAUAAACUUUUCAUGGACAAGUCAAGAGAUAGGGUGCAUCUGAUGUUCCUGGACUUCAUGCGUAACCUUCGUGAUCCGCCACAGUAUAGUUGGGGUAGUGGUUCCCUGGCCUGGUUAUACAGGGAGUUGUGUCGGGCAAGCGAGAAAGGGGCAUCGCAGAUUGGUGGGGCGUGCACCUUGAUCCAGUAUUGGGCAUGGGCAAGGUUGCCAUUCUUGUGCCCGAGGAUAGAGCCCCCACCUGGAUGUGAUUAUGGCCCAUGGCCAUAUGCUCCACUUGCAUUUAAGUGGGUGCGGGUGCCAAGCCCGAAGAGUAGGCCAUCCGGCAUGGCCUUGGUUCACUAUCGCGAGCUAUUAGUUACAAUGCAGCCAGAGCAGAUUGUGUGGCAGCCAUACGAGGCACACUUCGGCCACCUUCCUGAGUUCUGUGUUGUAGGGAGGGAUACGUAGACAGCAAGGGUGCCGCUUGUGUGUUUUUGCAUAGUAGAGAGACACCACCCAGACCGUGUCCUUCGACAGUUUGGCUUGGCACAGGAGCGGCCUGACGAUGUUGUCUACAAUGAUAGGCUGCAUAAAAUCGACUUACGUGGGAAGGUGGAAAAGAAUUGGAGGGAGGAGCAUGGACCGUAUAUCAUUUCAUGGGAAAUGAGACGACAACAACUUUGUCAUGCACCUCCUCAGAUUGGUGAGAUGCCCCGCAAUCAUGCCUAUUACGUCUGGUACCGUCCGGUCACUCGAAAGUAUGUCGACCGCAACAGCGCUAAAUUAGAUAUAAUGAUUCAAAGCCAUUUAGCACUGUUGGCGAUGCUUCCUGAAGGCAGCCAAGCUCACAACCAUGUCCUGCGUGUCCUAAAUAAUGUGGCUGGCCUUGGUGGUGGUCCUGCAGUAAAUGAGCAUGCAAACAAUGGGGAUGAGACUGAACUAGCAGUUACUGCAACCCCAAGCACAAGUGCAGCACCCAUAAGUACACCGACCCGUGGUCAUCGUGCUACUACAAGCCCAAGCACAAGUGCAGCUAGGGGUUGUCUUCGGCCUGCUACAGCAACCCCAAGCACAAGUGCAGUCAGGGGCCGUGGUCGGCGUGCAACAACCCCUCGGGUUGUAACUAGUCUUGACAUGCCUCCACCCAUCCCGCAGGCAUCUCCUCAGCCCGAUGUCCCUUCACCCAGCCCACCUUCGCAGCCCAAUUUCGAUGUCAGUAUUGACCAAAAUGUGACCCCUCCUAUACUCCCCGAGACACCCUCAUACCCACACACCGGCUCUAGUGCACCCACUCCUGGCCUCUACAUAGAGCAGGAUUACCCACCUACCGCAUCCUCAUCUGACCCUCUAGGACCUCCGGUUGGGAUUCACAUUGUACAACCACAUACUGAUGUAUCGGAUGAGCAUCCCCCUCAUCAGCCCUCACCCCCACGAGGUAGACCGCAACGCACUAGAAGAGCACCCACUUGUGGGACAGGUGGACACAAAAUAGGACACCGAGGCAGCUCUAUGCAUGAUGAUGACCCUAAGGUUGAUGCCCCGCAGCCUCCUCCCCCGCCCAAACAUUACACGAGGGCUAAAAAACACAAAAUUGGUGAACCUUGAACAAAGUUAUAGACUGCCACAAAACUGAAAAAGAUUCUUCAAGAUUCAAAGGAAACUGUGGUGGAAUCUGAUGUAAGGGGUAAAAUGCAGCCACUGAAAGAGCAGCUGACAAAUACAAUGAAUCAUCUCGAUACCAUCUUUGAGACUCAUGUGAAUGGUGGGAAGGAGGAAGGGUUCAUUCAUGGGGAGUUUAUGCCUGUUGGGGCUGAUGGGAGGAUUGUGCUUUCCUUUAAUUUGCUUACUCUAACCCACAUGAUUGGGUUUAUGAUUGGUGGCUUCCAGAGGGAAUGGUGCAACUACUGUCUUUGCUUCAAUGUUCUUUGCUUCUAAGGUUGGCAUCCCUGUAUUCGUCACUGGGGGGAUUGGAGGAGUACAUAGACAUGGCGAGCACACGAUGGACAUAUCAUCUGAUCUUACCGAGCUUGGAAGGACCCCAGUAGCAGUUGUCUCUGCUGGUGUCAAAUCAAUAUUAGAUAUUCCCAGGACCCUGGAAUAUUUGGGAACACAGGGAGUUUGCGUUGCUGCCUACAAAACCAAUGAGUUUCCAGCAUUUUUUACGGAAACAAGUGGCUGCAAGAAGAAGAGAAUGGAGAAACCCAAUCUGGACGAAUUGUACCACGUAUUUACCAGUCGUGCAGUCAAAUUCAUCGACUACGGCAUGAUGGGUGAUGGUUCCAAGUCUGAAAGCUGGAAAGAAUUCAAGACAAGUUGUUUAGGGAAUUUCGCGAAGAAUUUGGUGAGGAAGAGCCUGGGCGAAGGUGUAAUGUUCCCUCCAAAUCAACUACUUCCUCUUUUUAUUGUAGGUUAAAGCUUAGUCAUUGCUUUUCUUAUUCUUUUUUAUUGCAAUA